GUGACUGGUUCCAGUUUUAACCUGCUGAAGUGAAUUGUCCAAGAUUUUGAAACUUGUCUCCUUUGAUCAUAAAUAACUUGCAUGUUUUUACAAGAUCUAAUAAACAUUUCUUUUAUUUAUAUGAUUGUUUUUACAAGAUCUAAUGAUUUUUUUUCUAUAAUUGUAGAUUGUGCCUUGUCCAUUGUUAGCACUUGCAAUUUACUUGGAAGUUGUUUCGGUGUUGCCCUACAUAAGGUCAACGACUGAUACAAAACAUAAAGUCUGGAGAAGGACCAUAGUGAGUACUUAACCAAAUACCAAAGGUUUCAUUGAUUCAAAUGACACUUGAGGGACUAAAUUUAAGUAUUCAAACCUCUAUCAUGAUCAUGGAUAUUGGCUAAGUCUCAACUUAUUAGGAGAAAAGGGAUAAAGCUAGGUUUGCAAGCUAAGUCUAUGAAGUUUUGUAUUCAGAAAAAGGACCAGUACGUGAAGAUUAUUGCACAUCUUGAUCACUUGAUCUAUUCAGAAACGGAUAAGUUAAUUUGCAUGGUUGUGGUUUGAUAAACUUAAUUUUGUGGUUGUCAUGAACUUAUGGUCAUGUUUGGAUAGCUUAGCUUGUAGUAAUUGUAGAAGUUUAUAAACUUAACUUAAGUGAAUGUACAUAUAUGUUGUACCAGUUUUUGGUUGAGACAAGAUGUAUAA